rnacentral:lncRNA from 1 species
GGGUGGGAAAACUGAUGUGGCUGUGACCCUAGCUUUGGCCUUGAAGUGAUUAUGAAUGGAGGAAGAAAUUUGACUCUCCAAAUGACCACAUGGAGCUCAACAGGCAUCCUCCCCACUCAAGGCAAAUCUUUCAAUCAUCUGGAAAAUCCUCUAAUGCAGAACACCUUGACAGAGAACUGCAGUGUUUUCAUCUCACACAUGAAAAGAGAAAGGGGUCUCCAGCGUGUGGAAGGUGGGAAGUUCCAUGUAUUGGCCGAGAGGAGGUGCGUGCGCAAGGAGGGGAGACGCAAGUGGUCUCCUGUCAUUCUGCGCGCCGGCUUUCAGGCAGCUCUGGAGGCGCGUGUCGCGCUCCUGAAACCCUCAGAUGGUGAUUAUGACCGAUUACACAAGAUGCCAUGUUCCCUAAUCAUAUCACUUACAUCGCUGUGAACAGCGGUGACAAGGGUUUGAAGGGAGAAGAUCACAGCUGUCUAAUAAAAAAAAAAAAAUCAGGCAAACCAGACAGUGCUUCAGCCAGGAGAACAGGGUGGGAGUCUUGGCGUGAUGGGGUUCUGCCCUCUCUCUAACGCAGCUUAACCCCCGGCCAUCCUCUUGUUUCCAGAGCCCCUUGAUUACAUCAUGACGGGCAUUGGGCAGGUGUGGCUCAUACACUGAGUUCAUUUAUUUACCGUAUUAGCUCCCUGCUCUGUGAAGUGAUCAUUGUCACUGGGGUAACUUUGGAGUCUGUCGCCGCCGGAAUCGAAACGGCUCAUGUGAAUCAAAGACAAGUGCCAUGGACAUACCCCUCCUGGCUCUUCUCUGAAGCGCCCUCAGCUUAAGACACCACCUCUCCAUUCGGCCACUCCGUUUUUAAUCUGCCUUCAAAGAGAAAGCCAACUGUCUUGAAUUAAACACAAAAUGGUUCUUGAAGGCGUGUGUGAUGAAAGUGAUUAAAUAAUUAAUUCAAACAAAGGUGACUUCUGAGUCAGGUUGGGGGGUCAGGAAAAAAAGAAAAAGUCUUGAUUUGAAGCAGCGUUUACUUAGCAUACUAUGGAGAAAAAUAUUUAACAUGAUAUGAAAUGACCAUGCUGGAGAAUAUUAACCUGUCUCCUUUGCUUCCGUCGCUCCAGGCACAUUGGCCUCUUACUGAUCCUUGAACAGACCAAGGCUAUUUCCCUCUACCUCAGGGACUUUGGACUUUCU